AGAAGACACAAGAACAGACAGAAAUUGGAGGAGAUACAGGAAGAUACAACAGAUGUCACUACUGGUUAUUUAUCUCAAGAUUUUGGCUUUGACAAGAAAGAGUAUUCCACCGUUGAUGAUGGGGAUGCGCCAAAAAGCAAUGAAGUUACAUCGGUUAUUGAUGCCACAGUUUCAGAACAUGAAAUUGAUGCUGAGGCCAAAGGAUUGAAACUUUUACACAACUUCGAAGAGAUGGAGCCUCAAAGUAAAAAGGCUCGGAUCAUUAUACCAGAUAGUGAUGAGGAGGAUCUUCCUGGGAAAAUGUUGUCUCCUACAUGUAGUUUGAGCGAGACAGAAGAUCAAUCAAAUCCACAAAGAGAUGGAGAUAAUGUGCUUCCAGUUAGUUCCCUUCCUGUAUGCAAUGAGAAGCAAAAUUUUCGCUGCACUGCUUGUGAUAAAGUGGCUAUUGAAGUCCAUGCACAUCCUCUUUUGAGAGUUGUCCUUUGCCUGGACUGCAAAACUUCAAUGAAAACAAAGAUGCAGG
rnacentral:misc_RNA from 1 species